rnacentral:rRNA from 1 species
UACGGGGGGGGCAAGCGUUGUUCGGAAUUACUGGGCGUAAAGGCUCGUAGGCGGCCAACUAAGUCGGAUGUGAAAUCCCCAGGCUUAACCUGGGAACUGCAUCCGAUACUGGAUGGCUUGAAUCCGGGAGAGGGAUGCGGAAUUCCAGGUGUAGCGGAUGAAUGCGCAGAUAUCAGGAGGAACACCGAUGGCGAAGGCAGCUCGCUGGGACGUGACUGACGCUGAGACGCGAAAGCGUGGGGAGCAAACAGG